CAACACCCACUGAUCCCACUCCAAACGUUCCAUUCGGUCAAAGCGUUCACUCGCAAGAAAUUUUCAUCGACCUAGUUUGCGUCUUGAUAAUUUUUGUUUUAAAAAAUUGUUAAAAUUACUUUUUAUUCAGAAAUUUCCGUUUAUAUUGUAAAACAAGUAGUUUUAUUUCUUUAAAACACAAAACACAAUCAUGAGCACUGGCGGCACUCGUGUAUACGUGGGCGGACUCGUGGAAGGCAUCAAAAAGGAAGACCUGGAACGAGAAUUUGACAAAUACGGGAAACUAAACUCAGUUUGGGUAGCAUUAAAUCCCCCCGGUUUUGCGUUCAUAGAAUUUGAAAGCUUGCAGGAGGCGGAGGAUGCGUGUAGCGCUAUGAACGGUUUCGAGAUGUUAGGCGCGACGCUCAAAGUAGAAAUCUCGAGAAAACGGGACGGGCCCCGCAGAGGGGGCAACUUCCGGGGCGGGCGCGGUGGUAACUUCAGGGGCCGCUCGUUCGGGCCUCAGGGAGGGCGCUUCAACUCUUACGGCGGCGGGCGGCCGUACAACCGCAACGGCGACGGAUACGGCUCCGGCGGCGGCGGCGGCGGUGGCGGUAGCAACUUCAGAUCCAGGUCGCCGCUGUCCCGGUAUUAAUUUAGUUGUUAGCAUAAUUAGGUUUAGUGUUAUCGUAAUCUGAAGCCUUCCAAGUGUUAAAAUUCAAUGAAUAUAUAUUAUUGGGGGUUUAAUGCUCGGGAGUGUCCCAUUAACUGAGGAAUUAGAGUUCCUUGGACCCUUGAUCUCGAUUCAAAAUAAUCGUCGAGACAUAAUUUCAAGAACAAUCUUCAGUUAUUAUUUAACAUUCUACCUAAGUACUCUAAUGGUUAAGAUUCCCUUACAUUAUAAAUAAACAAUUGUGACUGCUUCAUUUGUUUUUAUUGUCGUCAAAUCUUAACUACUGUAGAGGUUAGGAUGAUACACAUUUUGAUAUUGUAAAAUUAAAAUCGAAUAAAUCUACUGGAACUAAA